UACGUAGGGUGCGAGCGUUGUCCGGAAUUAUUGGGCGUAAAGAGCUCGUAGGCGGUCUGUCGCGUCUGCUGUGAAAACCCGAGGCUCAACCUCGGGCCUGCAGUGGGUACGGGCAGACUAGAGUGCGGUAGGGGAGAAUGGAACUCCUGGUGUAGCGGUGGAAUGCGCAGAUAUCAGGAAGAACACCCGUGGCGAAGGCGGCUCUCUGGAACGCAACUGACGCUGAGACGCGAAAGCGUGGGGAGCGAACAGG
rnacentral:rRNA from 1 species